UACGGGGGGGGCAAGCGUUGUUCGGAAUUACUGGGCGUAAAGGGCUCGUAGGUGGCCAACUAAGUCAGACGUGAAAUCCCUCGGCUUAACCGGGGAACUGCGUCUGAUACUGGAUGGCUAGAGUUUGGGAGAGGGAUGCGGAACUCCAGGUGUAGCGGUGAAAUGCGUAGAUAUCUGGAGGAACACCGGUGGCGAAGGCGGCAUCCUGGACCAACACUGACGCUGAGGAGCGAAAGCCAGGGGAGCAAACGGG
rnacentral:rRNA from 1 species